GUCAAUGUAUACACGGAGCAACACCAGUUAUUACACCCAAUCAACAUAUGUCGCUGUUUAUCCGAAUGGCAUUGGCAUCGUUGAAGAGGGUCGCGAAUAUCAGCCGAGAAAAUUAAAUUAUGACAAUCAAAUGAGCAUGAUUUAAUUAAAUAAGUUAUUUGCAAACCAGCAAACAUAUGUCGAUAUGACCUUUUUUAUUUUUACAACUAUUGUUGCAACAUAUGCCAAAUAAACAUUUCACUAAUAAAUAUUUUCGGUUAACCGCAAUUAGAAAUAUCCACCAAAUGCUCCUGAUGCGAUAAUCGUGUUUGCUCAACGUCGCUUGGUCAUCUCGGGGGGUUAUCGCCUUGUUAUUAAAUUCGUGUAAAGCGAGUAAUAUAAUAAUAAUGAUUGGGUUUGUUGUCAUUGCUCUAAUUGCAGUUUUAGUGUCCCAGUCAACAGUAUCGUAUGACUGCGAACCGGGGAAUGACGACGGUGCCUCGCACAUUGGAGAACAAGGGUACAUUAGGGAACAUUACGACAGCAUCAUCUACAGGAGUGCGGGCAUCCGGAAGAUCCGAUUAGCAAAUCUUGCGUAAUAAUUGAAAUAUCAAGGAAUAUCGCCGUGCUACAGACACUUGUGUCCCUUCGAUGGGCUUUGGAAGUAAUUGAAAUGUUCGCUGGGUAUUAGGGCCUUUCACGCCACGACAACGCACUCAUUCAAAGAAACGAAUAGAUUUCAUCAAACGCUAUUUUUUAUUAAUUUUUGUGUUUAUUCAAAGCAGCAAAUGUAUUAAUUACAUUGUAUGCCAGUGUGAAACGAAUUUAUGUUAAUUCAAAUAAAGCAAACACUUUUUAUUUUAUAA